AUAAACGGCGAAACUGCGAAUGGCUCAUUAAAUCAGUUAUCGUAUAUUUGAUAGUACCUACUACAUGGAUAACCGUGGUAAUUCUAGAGCUAAUACAUGCUUAAAAUCCCGACUUCGGAAGGGAUGUAUUUAUUAGAUUAAAAACCAAUGCCCUUCGGGGCUCACUGGUGAUUCAUAAUAACUUCUCGAAUCGCAUGGCCUUGUGCCGGCGAUGGUUCAUUCAAAUUUCUGCCCUAUCAACUUUCGACGGCUGGGUCUUGGCCAGCCGUGGUUACAACGGGUAACGGAGGGUUAGGGCUUGACCCCGGAGAAGGAGCCUGAGAAACGGCUACUACAUCCAAGGAAGGCAGCAGGCGCGCAAAUUACCCAAUCCCGACUCGGGGAGGUAGUGACAAUAAAUACUGAUACAGGGCUCUUUUGGGUCUUGUAAUUGGAAUGAGUACAAUUUAAAUCCCUUAACGAGGAACAAUUGGAGGGCAAGUCUGGUGCCAGCAGCCGCGGUAAUUCCAGCUCCAAUAGCGUAUAUUAAAGUUGUUGCAGUUAAAAAGCUCGUAGUUGAACCUUGGGCCUGGCUGGCCGGUCUGCCUCACCGCAUGCACUGGUCCGGCCGGGCCUUUCCCUCUGGGGAUCCGCAUGCCCUUCACUGGGUGUGUCGGGGAACCAGGACUUUUACUGUGAAAAAAUUAGAGUGUUCAAAGCAGGCAUAUGCUCGAAUACAUUAGCAUGGAAUAAUAGAAUAGGACGUCGCGGUUCUAUUUUGUUGGUUUCUAGGACCGCCGUAAUGAUUAAUAGGGACAGUCGGGGGCAUCAGUAUUCAAUCGUCAGAGGUGAAAUUCUUGGAUCGAUUGAAGACUAACUACUGCGAAAGCAUUUGCCAAGGAUGUUUUCAUUAAUCAGGAACGAAAGUUAGGGGAUCGAAAACGAUCAGAUACCGUUGUAGUCUUAACCAUAAACUAUGCCGACUAGGGAUCGGGCG
rnacentral:rRNA from 1 species